rnacentral:tRNA from 1 species
AUUUAAAUAGCUUAUAAGAUAGAGCGUAAUAUUGAAGAUAUUAAGGAGAUAUGUUUAUCUUUAAAUA